UAGGGAAUUUUCGUCAAUGGGGGGAACCCUGAACGAGCAAUGCCGCGUGAGUGAAGAAGGUCUUCGGAUCGUAAAGCUCUGUUGUAAGAGAAAAACGGAUCAUGUAGGGAAUGACAUGAUAGUGAUGGUAUCUUACCAGAAAGCCACGGCUAACUACGUGCCAGCAGCCGCGGUAAUACGUAGGUGGCAAGCGUUAUCCGGAAUGAUUGGGCGUAAAGGGUGCGUAGGUGGUACAUUAAGUCUGAAGUAAAAGGCAGCAGCUCAACUGCUGUUCGCUUUGGGAAAACUGGUGAACUAGAGUACAGGAGAGGGCGAUGGAAUUCCAUGUGUAGCGGUAAAAUGCGUAGAUAUAUGGAGGAACACCAGUGGCGAAGGCGGUCGCCUGGCCUGUAACUGACACUGAGGCACAGAAGCGUGGGGAGCAAAUAGGAUUAGAUACC
rnacentral:rRNA from 1 species